rnacentral:rRNA from 1 species
UGUUUUUAUUGAUAUGAAGAGCUUGCUCUGAUUUGAUUUCCUCUGACAAAGAGUGGCGAACGGGUGAGUAACACGUGGGUAACCUACCUCUUAGCAGGGGAUAACAUUUGGAAACAAGUGCUAAUACCGUAUAACACUAACAACCGCAUGGUUGUUAGUUGAAAGAUGGUUCUGCUAUCACUAAGAGAUGGACCCGCGGUGCAUUAGCUAGUUGGUAAGGUAAUGGCUUACCAAGGCGAUGAUGCGUAGCCGAGUUGAGAGACUGAUCGGCCACAAUGGGACUGAGACACGGCCCAUACUCCUACGGGAGGCAGCAGUAGGGAAUCUUCCACAAUGGGCGCAAGCCUGAUGGAGCAACGCCGCGUGUGUGAUGAAGGGUUUCGGCUCGUAAAACACUGUUAUAAGAGAAGAACGACAUUGAGAGUAACUGUUCAGUGUGUGACGGUAUCUUAUCAGAAAGGAACGGCUAAAUACGUGCCAGCAGCCGCGGUAAUACGUAUGUUCCAAGCGUUAUCCGGAUUUAUUGGGCGUAAAGCGAGCGCAGACGGUUAUUUAAGUCUGAAGUGAAAGCCCUCAGCUCAACUGAGGAAGGGCUUUGGAAACUGGAUAACUUGAGUGCAGUAGAGGAAAGUGGAACUCCAUGUGUAGCGGUGAAAUGCGUAGAUAUAUGGAAGAACACCGGUGGCGAAAGCGGCUUUCUGGACUGUAACUGACGUUGAGGCUCGAAAGUGUGGGUAGCAAACAGGAUUAGAUACCCUGGUAGUCCACACCGUAAACGAUGAGUGCUAGAUGUUCGAGGGUUUCCGCCCUUGAGUGUCGCAGCUAACGCAUUAAGCACUCCGCCUGGGGAGUACGACC